CAUGCAAGUCGAACGAAGUAGCAAUACUUAGUGGCAGACGGGUGAGUAACAUGUGGGUAUCUGCCCUUUGGCCUGGAAUAACACGAGGAAACUUGUGCUAAUACCGGAUAAGUCUUUACGGAGAAAGCUUUAUGCACCAUUGGAUGAGCCCGCACUUGAUUAGUUUGUUGGUGGGGUAAUGGCCUACCAAGACUGUGAUCAAUAGCUGAUUUGAGAGGAUGAUCAGCCACAUUGGGACUGAGACACGGCCCAAACUCCUACGGGAGGCAGCAGUGGGGAAUCUUGCACAAUGGAGGAAACUCUGAUGCAGCGAUGCCGCGUGAGUGAAGAAGGCCCUUGGGUUGUAAAGCUCUUUCGUCGGGGAAGAAAAUGACUGUACCCGAAUAAGAAGGUCCGGCUAACUUCGUGCCAGCAGCCGCGGUAAUACGAAGGGACCUAGCGUAGUUCGGAAUUACUGGGCUUAAAGAGUUCGUAGGUGGUUGAAAAAGUUAGUGGUGAAAUCCCAGAGCUUAACUCUGGAACUGCCAUUAAAACUUUUCAGCUAGAGUAUGAUAGAGGAAAGCAGAAUUUCUAGUGUAGAGGUGAAAUUCGUAGAUAUUAGAAAGAAUACCAAUUGCGAAGGCAGCUUUCUGGAUCAUUACUGACACUGAGGAACGAAAGCAUGGGUAGCGAAGAGGAUUAGAUACCCUCGUAGUCCAUGCCGUAAACGAUGUGUGUUAGACGUUGGAAAUUUAUU
rnacentral:rRNA from 1 species